GGGGCUGGGCAGGAGGAGGGUGCAGUGCAAUCAGUGCACUCCCCUCCUGUGGGUCACCAGUAGACUGGUGCACCUGCCCAGGAUCAGAGCCGGUGCAAGGAUUUUUGCCGCCCUAGACAAAAUAAAAAUUUCCUGCCCCCCCCAUGUGACAUCACAAUGCCCCACCCAUAUGAACUAACGCCAGUGCUGCACACAGUGUGUGUUUACAUUAAAAAGCCUGCAGGGACCAGCUAUAGACACCAAAACCACUUCAUUAAGCUAUAGUGUCCC